GUUUGCAAGGGGAUGUCCUGUCUGAGAACCAAGUGGACCAAGACUCCUGACCCUAGAGAACAGCACUAGAAUGUUCUUGAAGGGCCAGAACCAUGUAUCUAGGCAACCCGUUCAGCAGGCCUUUUGUUACAGUUUGGAUCAGAAAUGUCCCCCAAAAGGAUCCUAUUUUGCAGGUCAGUCCUCAUGAGAGUGCUAACUUCAUGAACUGGAAUUGUCUUUCAGCUCCAUGAUGAGAUCCGGAGCAUUCUCAAGUGUAGCAGCCACUUUACAGCAACCCAAGAAGCAGCCCUGAGCAUCCAUCUUCACCACCCACCUGCUCCAGGAAAGAUGCAGGAAGGAGAAUGAAUGCAUGGAGAAAAAUCUCUCCAGUCUCGGGGGCUUAGCAGAUGGUCCCCAGCCUGCUCUUACAAGCUACAAGCAAGAACAAUGCCCUUGUGGCCAUUGAAGGGCCCUCCCAGUCCAUCUGAAUCCUCCCUGGGCAACAGGGUUAACGGUUAUGCUCCUUAAAGGAAGGGGGUCACAGGGAAUGCCUAGGAGUGAGACCCCGUGGCACAUCAACUCCUCUCUUCCAAUUUGGGGCUUCACUGUACCUGGUCAAGCUGAGGUCUGUGUACUAAUGUCUGUGCAUGGAAAACUGGAGACGUGUUUAAAGGCCACAGACUGCAGGCCUGUGGGAAGAGCAGAGCUGCAUAGAAACUGGGAAGUCUCCAGUGUAGUCCCAACCUCCCAGGUGGGCUCUGGGACCUCACCGAAGCCUGAGUGUCACAAGUGGCUUAUUGAGCCCUCCACCAGCAGGCUCUUCCUCCGGCAUGCUUUGCUUUUUCUGAGUGUAAUUCAAAUUUCCCCCACUCAUCCGAGACACAGCAGGGUGUGUGAGAGCAGCGAGAGGCUUAUUACACCCAGUAUGGAGCGCUGCACUCCAGAAGGGAAGGGGCAGGAGCGUGGCAGGCUGGCACAUGCGUGGGGUAUUUAUAGCAGAGCCAAGUGUGGCUGGCUUUGGCAGACACUUACUAAACACAGCCGUGGAACAGGUUCUUAAGAAAGCUCCCGCUUUCCCUGCAGAGAAACAUCCGGCAGCCAAAGAAAGGGUCCCAGCCCUGCCUGGCUGGAGGGGCUGCUGCCGGAUGCAGGGUGGGGGACAUCUCAGAGAGUUUUCAAGGAAGUUGGGAUGUGCUGUGAUUUGGAGAACAAUCUAGCGCACACACUUUUAUAGCCUCUGUCUGGUCAUCACCCACCCGACAACAGCCAUUCAUGAUUUGUGUGGUUCUGUCCCUCAAGGGCAGGGAUGUGCCCACACAAUUAGCAUCACUGUCCACCAAGCCCAGUACAGGCACAAAAUGAACUCAUACAAACAGGAACCUAGUGGAAACUGUAUGCAAAACAGUGCUGAUGCUGGGGCAUAGCUCAGCUGGCAGUUCGUCUGGCUGGCAUGAGGCCCUCCGGGAAAGGAGGCUGGUUUUUUUUUUCUUUUCUUCUUUUUUUUUUUUAAAACAAAAUUUAUUAUAAAUACAAAUGGUAUUUUUGA